CAGUCGCCGCGGUAAUGCGGAGGGAGCUAGCGUUGUUCGGAAUCACUGGGCGUAAAGCGCACGUAGGCGGCUAUUCAAGUCAGGGGUGAAAGCCCGGGGCUCAACCCCGGAACUGCCUUUGAAACUAGAUAGCUUGAAUCUUGGAGAGGCGAGUGGAAUUCCGAGUGUAGAGGUGAAAUUCGUAGAUAUUCGGAAGAACACCAGUGGCGAAGGCGACUCGCUGGACAAGUAUUGACGCUGAGGUGCGAAAGCGUGGGGAGCAAACAGGAUUAGAUACCCCUGUAGUCCCUGUCUCUUAUAC
rnacentral:rRNA from 1 species